CCAUUGGGGUUGGUCGGUGGAAAUGGAUUUAUUGGUCCCUGGGCUGCCCAACGUCUGCUUGAAGUAAUCUGGGGGGCAGAGUCACUGAGGAACAGCAUGCAAAGGAUCUCCAAGGGAUCCCUGCAAAGUUCAGCUGAAAUUACCUCCUGAGUCCCAGCAGCUGCUUCUGCUGGGGCUCCCUCUCCCAAAGCCAGCAAAGAGAGAAGGAAGCCAGCAGAAUUGGUCUUACUGAAUCUGUAACUCAAGUGACCAGAUUCCCUUCUGUCACUUAAUUUUUUUUAAAAGUGCUGAAGGUGGACUGUGGAAUCAGCAUCUAAUGACCCCUAAAGGAUAAAAUAUUUUAUCUUCCUUAGGGGAGGAAAACCCCAAUCCUAAUUCAUCUUUUGUUUGAAUUAGAAAGAAGAAAAGCUUACCAUUUCAAGCAAGACAACAAUUCAAACAUUAGAAAAGAAGAGUUAUUAUUUGAAGGGUAAUAAACAUUGGACCUGCAGUUCCUUAGACUGUAACUGCAAAGUGCCUUACACCAGGAUUUUCCAGGAGUCCCUGUCUCUGAAGAUACAAAGUGGUUACAGCUGGUAACAAAAAAAAGGAGAAACAGUGGUAUUUUAAUAGCAUAAGGAGCUGGAACAGAUGAUCUUGUAUCUUUCUGCUGAAGCUAUUUUACUCCAAGGAGGAAGUAAUUUUAUUUUCUUUGCUUAAAAAUUUUUGGUGUUCACUGUUUGUGCUGCUUGCAUAUUGAGACCUGAAGGAAGCUUUGUAAGUCACACUGCUUUAAAAAAAAUAAAAAUUGAGCUUUGACAUAAACUACCAAACUGCUUUCAUUACUAACAACAAUCCUUUUCUGUGGAUGCUGAAAACUGGGAAGCACUGAACAUCUACUGUAUUUGGCAUCUACUAUAUUUGUCUUUUUUACCUUUAAGUACAUCAACAGGCACUAGCCCCUUGGUAUCUCACCACCACAAUGGAAGAAGUCUGGGUUGUGUAUCUGUGCCUGAUCUUGCUUAUCGUGGUGCUUAUUCUAAUGAAGCAUAACCCACAUUUGGAAGAGGCCAAGAAGGAGAGGGAAAGCAAAAGCCCCCCACCAUCCUCUUCCUUUUUUCCCAGUACUGUUGGCAAACAGCUGGAGCACACCCAGGAAGAGCUGGAGCACUAUCUGGAGAGGCUGACCCAUGUCUUGUUUGACUCAGAAGCUAGGAAAAGGGAUGGCCACCAUGAUCAGAAGUCCCACCACCAGCAGCACAGAACCACUGAUGUUACAUCUGAAACUAAAGAGCAUUCAGGGAAGGAGGCAGCAUAUUCUCAGUAUCUGUCGAGCCACACAAGGGUUCAGACUUGAUGCAGCAGAUCAUCCUUGUCUGGACAGUUGAAAACAUUAAUAUAAGCCCCUCUUUUGUGCAAAAUCAAUGGAAAUCAUGCAGAAGCAUAGUAGCAGAAAUCAUCUUUUGCUGUUGCUCGCUUGUUUUUUGGGAGUAGUAAGAAAGAAGUUGCAACCUAAACAAACACUUGUCAUAACUUGUCAAGAAUGAAAGGCCUAAUUCUGCUCCUGUUGAAGUAAAAUGCAUAACUUUUCAACUUUGCUUGGAAGCAGGUUAGUGCCAAACUGUCAGGGUUUUUGUUUAUUGGUCAGGCAAAAUGUAAGCGUUAGCAUAGUUUCAGAAACUGUAUAAUGGUUAACAGGGUGUACUGCUUGAUGGAGAUUCAGUCAGUUCAGAAUCUGAUUUAUGUGUCACCUGAGCACAAGAAUGUGUGGGUACGUAUGAAGGCAUUUGGGCCUCUGUCCCAGGUGAAGGAAGGACAUUGCUGCUUUUGUUCAGGGAAGGGGUAGCCUUUUUUUUUUCUUUUUUUUUUUUUUUAAGUUUACUUUGAGCAUUUUAUAACUCUUUUAAAGCAUACAGGUUAUUUGAAGGUGCCAAAUUAGGUUCUCUGGAAAAUGAAAUCCUCUGUGUUGUCUAGAAGAGAGAGGCUGGCUUGCUAAAAGCCAUCCUUAAAGCUUCUGUGUGUCAGUCUUAUUCUAAACCAGCCACAUCCAGGAUCUCUGUUGCCUUUGCCUGCCCAAUUCUGAGAAAGCGGCAGCUCUGUUGGUGCUACUGUGCAAGAGAGGAGUGAUAUAAAACCUGUUACGGAUGGGGAGAGAGAGAGAGAGAGAGAGAAUGCCACCCAGCUGGACAAAGAUGUUCAAGAGCAAAAAUCUAUGGAAGUUCAGAAUAAUAUAACUAGUAUUGGCAAGAAACCUCUCAGAUUUUUCAGAGGGCAUGGAACUUGAAUGGACUUUGGAUCAAGGCACUGUUGGCCAUAGUUGGUUAGCUGUCAAUGUAGACACCUUCAGUUAUUCCAUC
ensembl:lncRNA